rnacentral:rRNA from 1 species
GAUGAAGGUUUUCGGAUCGUAAAGCUCUGUUGUUAGGGAAGAACAAGUACCGUUCGAAUAGGGCGGUACCUUGACGGUACCUAACCAGAAAGCCACGGCUAACUACGUGCCAGCAGCCGCGGUAAUACGUAGGUGGCAAGCGUUGUCCGGAAUUAUUGGGCGUAAAGGGCUCGCAGGCGGUUUCUUAAGUCUGAUGUGAAAGCCCCCGGCUCAACCGGGGAGGGUCAUUGGAAACUGGGGAACUUGAGUGCAGAAGAGGAGAGUGGAAUUCCACGUGUAGCGGUGAAAUGCGUAGAGAUGUGGAGGAACACCAGUGGCGAAGGCGACUCUCUGGUCUGUAACUGACGCUGAGGAGCGAAAGCGUGGGGAGCGAACAGGAUUAGAUACCCUGGUAGUCCACGCCGUAAACGAUGAGUGCUAAGUGUUAGGGGGUUUCCGCCCCUUAGUGCUGCAGCUAACGCAUUAAGCACUCCGCCUGGGGAGUACGGUCGCAAGACUGAAACUCAAAGGAAUUGACGGGGGCCCGCACAAGCGGUGGAGCAUGUGGUUUAAUUCGAAGCAACGCGAAGAACCUUACCAGGUCUUGACAUCCUCUGACAAUCCUAGAGAUAGGACGUCCCCUUCGGGGGCAGAGUGACAGGUGGUGCAUG